GCCAGAGUGGCAUAAUGGCUUGAGCAUUUGACUGCAACUCUGGAGGCCAAGGUUCAAAUCCUGACUCAGCCA